CUGGACAAACAAAUGAAAAAAAAAUGGAGCUCUUAAUCUUAGGAGCUGGGGGAGGAAGCUUCAGGGAGGAAACGCAAACCACCCGCAAGAGCUUGAUGCUCCCCUGCUGCCCCUCUCUCUGCACAGGGACGCGAGGUCCUGUGGGCCAGGAAUCGAACUUUCAGCUGAGGUGUCUGAGGGAGCUGCACAGACUCACCCCUUAAGUGUUUGAAAAGCCGCACGCUGCAUUCCGCUGCUCACAAAGGCAAUGCAGCAACAGCAGGAGCAGCCGGAGCUACAGCUGCUGCUGGGUGAUUCUCACCAGAACAGGAGGCGGACUAGAAGUGGAAGGACAGGAAACUAAUACAGUGAUGAAACCAAUGAUUCUCUUGGACUACAAACAAUAUACUAUUCACUUCUGAAUACGACCUGAGACCAUUCCCAGAAGGUCACAACAAUCAACACAUAACAUUUCUGCAACUCAAAGGUGUGACAACAUCUCACCCCCAGCAAGCAAACAGCCUAUUCUGCAACAUAUCCCUGCUGGACGUCCUCUUAUUCAAUUCAGUCCUGAGACUAUCCACCUGGAGUUAGGAUUCAAUCUCCAAGAUUUCCCCUUCUCACGACAGAGGUCAAUUGAAAACCCCAGGUUGUUUUUGAUUUGUGCUUCUGACUUAUAGGCUAUAAAUUGGUUGUCUUUAACUUCCUCUCUGGCUUUAUUUUGCUAGUACGUUUCACAGAGCUCAGGAAAGUGUUUAGAUCUGCAAGUAUAUAAUAAAAAUAUUACAAAGCAUACAAGGCAAGGUGACCUCUCUAAGUGUUCCACUCUUCAGGAACCCACAAGUGUGCAGUUAUGUGGAAGCUCUCUAAACCCUAUCCUUUUGGAAUUUUGGAGACCUCAUAGCAUAGACAUGAUUGCUAACAGACUGAGUAGGGAAACCCAGCAACACUUAUCUCUUCAAAUUCUUCAUCACUCUUACCUCACAAAUAUGGAAACUCUCUGGAAUGAGAAGGGUCUUCUGACCUAUUAUCAGACAAAGGUAGGGCAGAGAAAUCCUUCAAGGCCAGCUAAUGGUGGAGGAAGAUUAGUUUCUAUUACUCACCUUGAGGAAGAAAGACCCUAGUUUCUAUGGGCUGCCUUGAGGAGGGAAUUCAGGAAUUGUGAAUGAAAAUCAAAUUGUUAAUUUCACAAUAUCACACUAUCUCUCCUAACUUAAAUGUAAGGAUGAUAUAAUCUGUUUUACUCACUCGUGUAUGUCCAGAACCUUGAAGAGUUUUGGUAUACACAAUCAGUAGGCAUGGUCCAGUUACUAUGCUGCAUAAAAUUGCAAAAGCUAGUGGCAUAAAUUAAUCCUACAAUUCUGUGGUUCAAGUUUCUAGCAGGGCAUAUCAGGAUUGGCCGUUUCUUGCUCUCCAAUGUGUGGAGUUUCAGCUGGAAUGGAUCAGAAUGAACCAGAGGGGCCAGCACUGUGGCAUAGCGUGUAAAGCUGCAGCCUGAAAUGCCGACAUCCCACAUGGGUGCCAGUUCAAGACCCAGCUGCUCCACUUCUGACCCAGCUCUCUGCUAUAGCUUGGGAAGACAGUGGAGGAUGGCCCGAGUACCUGGAACCCAACCUUCUGGCUUCAGAUCAGCCAAGCUCAGGCAAUUUCAGCCACUUGAGGAGUGAACCAGUGGAUGGAGGAUCGAUCGAUCUCUCUCUCUCUCUCUCUCUCUCUGCCUCUGCCUCUCUGUAACUCUGCCUUUCAAAUAAAUAAAUCUUUAAAAAACAUAAACCAGAAUGAUAAGUGUGUUUUGUUCACUUAUAAUAAUACAGGGAAAUCAGUCAGAGACCCUAGUUCUUCUUCAUAUGGUGCUCUCCAAGGAUUCUUCACAACAUAGAAACUGGGUUCCAUGAGAAUGCAAUUAGGGACUGUUGUGUGAUAAAGGGUGUCAUUCAGAAUUCUUUUCUACCUUAUCUUAUUGGCUAAAGAAGUCAGACACCAAGACCAAGGGAAUAAAGAGAAAAAAACUGUACCUCCUAAUAGA